CAUUACAGCAAAUGUCCCUCCCUGUAUUGCUUCUCCAACCCCCUCAAAACACCUUCUCCUUUCAAUCUCGUCCCUCUACACCUUCUUGUCCUCAUCCUUCUUCUCCUCCCCAUUCUCUCUCUCUCUCUGUCUCCCCUUUUCUCUUCCCAAUCAGAGAGCAAUGGGAAGAGUUGUGUAAACUACUCUGGAUCUUCCAACUAAAAGGAUGGAUCCACAGCUCUAAACAUCUUUGGCCAAGAAGAAAACUUGCUGACAGAGCCAGGCUGAGUAGCUGAAAACACAGAAAAUUCAUUUGGGCUCAACUGUUCACCAACUGGACCUCUCCAAGGGCUGCUUGAGUGUCCUCACAAAGCGGCAUCGGGAUUCACCUGGAAGAUUCUUUCUCUGAGAGAGCAACAGUUAUGAAAGACAGGAU